ACGACCACAGCUCGUGGGAGAAUACGGGGUCCCGUCCGCUCCCCCAUCGUCAAGCCACGAAGCGCCGGAUUAGUAGUUGGGUCGGUGACGACCAGCGAAUACCUGGUGUUGUAUGUC
rnacentral:rRNA from 5 species